GUGGCGAACGGGUGAGUAACACGUGAGCAAUCUGCCCUUGACUCUGGGAUAACUGCGGGAAACUGUAGCUAAUACCGGAUACUUUCCUCGCUGGGCAUCCAGCAGGGAAGAAAGAAUUUCGGUCAAGGAUGAGCUCGCGGCCUAUCAGCUAGUUGGUGAGGUAAAGGCUCACCAAGGCGACGACGGGUAGCCGGCCUGAGAGGGUGACCGGCCACACUGGAACUGAGACACGGUCCAGACUACUACGGGAGGCAGCAGUGGGGAAUAUUGCACAAUGGGCGAAAGCCUGAUGCAGCAACGCCGCGUGAGGGAUGAAGGCCUUCAGGUUGUAAACCUCUUUUAGCAGGGAAGAAGCGAAAGUGACGGUACCUGCAGAAAAAGCACCGGCUAACUACGUGCCAGCAGCCGCGGUAAUACGUAGGGUGCAAGCGUUGUCCGGAAUUAUUGGACGUAAAGAGCUCGUAGGCGGUUUGUCACGUCUGCUGUGAAAAUCCGAGGCUCAACCUCGGACUUGCAGUGGGUACGGGCAGGCUAGAGUGCGGUAGGGGAGAAGGGAAUUCCUGGUGUAGCGGUGGAAUGCGCAGAUAUCAGGAGGAACACCAAUGGCGAAGGCACUUCUCUGGGCCGUAACUGACGCUGAGGAGCGAAAGCGUGGGGAGCGAACAGGAUUAGAUACCCUGGUAGUCCAC
rnacentral:rRNA from 1 species